rnacentral:tRNA from 1 species
AGUGUGUUGGCAGAAUAGUGCAAUUGACUUAGGAUCAAUGUAUGGUAUACACCACACACUA